CUCCACAAGGAGACUGACUGCCUGUUACACGAAUGCAGUAGAGCCAAGACUCGUGCUCGUAGUCCUGAUCUUUUUUUCCCAGCCUUGGCGGUCCACAUUCCAGUCAACCAUCCUUGGUGUAUUCGAGAUGCGUAAAUCUCGUAAAACUAAUUGUGGAGUGAAGAAUGGUUGUGAGAGGCAAUGUAAACCAGCAGGUGGCAAUGCCAGAAGAGGGGGGAUUAAACAACAUAAUCAAGAUGAUGAUUUUUCACUGCUUCAUCAAGAAUUAAUUGAAAACAAAAUGUUCUGUUUAUAUAAAGCAUUUAAGCUGUGUGUGUGUGUGUGUGUUAAAUCUUGCUAGCUAGAGGAACAUUUAACCCCUUUUGUCUGACAGAAUUAUAGCUCUAUUUGAUUUUCUCAAUCUCUUUAUACAGAAUUUCACUUCAUUGUAGAAUUUCAUUUUUAGUGGGAGACUAGAAAAUCUUAUGAUUUACUGUACAUUAGGAAGAAUGACUAGUUUGCCAAUAUAAUAUGGAUAUAUUUUACAUACUAUAUUGUAAACAUGCUGACAUACAGUACUGCUGCAGAAUAUUUUUGAGUGAAAGGGGAGAAUUAACAUCCUGCAAAAUGACUGUUUGAGAAUGGUAAUCUAAUCUAAAUUUAAACAUAGCUAAACACGUUCAGAUGAGUGACUGUCCUUUGAGUUUUGCCGUUGAAAUUCACUUAAUGCUCUCUCUUCCUGGUUGUGGUUAAUUGCUUCAUCAAAGAGAUUCUGCCUUGGAAAGUCAUUAUUUUCUAAUGAAACAUCAAAUAGAGGAGAUCAUUUUAAAAAAGGAAACUGAAAUUAGAGGAAUAUAACCACAUUGUGGAUUGAUUCUACAAAGUGAUUUUAAAACUUAAGAGUACAUUUUCUAUUUCUAAUUAGGCUGGUCAUACACUAUCAUUAUCAUCAUGCUGAUGUGGGGCUCUUUUUCUGUGUCUAUCUAUAGAACCAUUUCAGACUUUGAGAAUAUAUUGCAAUGAGGGUGUAUUAUUCCCUGUCUAUGAUUGACGAAUGAAACUUGCAGUACUAUCAGUAAGAACUGCAAAAGAUGGUUUAACACAUUAAGUAAGCCUAAAAGAAUGAGUACAUUAUCUUUUAGCUGAAGAAAAUGUUCUGUAUUACUGUAAAACAUUCAUAUGCAUAAGGAGUCCUGAUAGACUAAAGGCAGAGGGGCCCUUUCCAAAUGAUUCUUCUGUCACAAGCUCAAGGGGAUGAAAGUCAUUUCCCUUUGAUCGAUUAGCUAAUUUAUGAAUUAAUUAGUGUGUUUUGCAUUGUUUAAGUCUGGCAGCAACAACCGUUACUGGGAGGACAUUUCUCCAUGUAUUUUAUAUCAUAUAAGACAAGGGGUUGGCAUGGUAACCUCAUUUACCAUUCAAAGCCCUUAUUCAUAUUGAAGAAUGGCACUCAUGGGUAUUGUCAAGACAUGAUUCAAUAUUCUUCAUAAAAGCCGCUGUACGUUCGAAUGGUUUCGAUUUUUGUCUUAAAGAAUACAGAUGUCUAAUUAACUUUAGGGCACAAAUAAAGUUCAGAUUUUAAGUUUGUAUUUUUUUAUUCAAAGGCUAAUACAUUUAUUGGCUCACACUGUUUAAAAUAUCCACUGAGGUGAACA